GAACUAGCCUGCCUGAGAGGACUCGGUUGUAACUCAGUGGGUGGAGUGUGCAUUCGGUAUUGGCCCCUACAUCCAAUCUCCAUACCAAGACGGAAAAAUAUCUCACAACAUUAAAGUCCCCAAGGACCCAUCUGAGACACGGUUGCCCCCAGGAAGUUAUAUAUCGUUGCUAAUCCCAACGUACAGACGAGAAUCAGACACAAGUGAAGGAGGCACAGAUAACAAAGAACCAGGCAAGCAACGAGUCCAGAGCCCAACUUUUCAGCAGGUUUAAGAUAAGUGUGGUCCUCGCUCCUCAUCAAGGACACGUCUCUGCAGCAGAUGGAGAUCAUUACAGAAAACCACAACCCAUCAAACUGCAGCACAAAUUCUUAGGAAUAACCCUUCAUCUCCUCGAAGACCCUCUCGGCCACGCAUUCCUUUGCACUGUCUUAGUUACCAGCUGCCAUGGAGGAUAUCCUGAAGGGAAGAGUUCAAGAUCAAAAGAGAUGUCUCUGUUCAUGAACUAACAAAUACAUUGUUCUCCUUCCUCGUUUUAUGAACGGUCUGCAAGAUGACUCAGUGGACAAAGGCACUUGCUACCAAGGCUGAUGACCUGAGUUCAAUCCCUGGAACGAACAUGGGGAAAAGAGAGAACAACUCUCCUAUGUUAUCCUCUGACUUCCAUAUGUGCACGUGGUAUAGGUGCACACAACCCUUCCCCA
rnacentral:lncRNA from 1 species